rnacentral:rRNA from 1 species
AUUGAACGCUGGCGGCAGGCUUAACACAUGCAAGUCGAGCGGGGUGAUGGUGCUUGCACUAUCACUUAGCGGCGGACGGGUGAGUAAUGCUUAGGAAUCUGCCUAUUAGUGGGGGACAACAUCUCGAAAGGGAUGCUAAUACCGCAUACGUCCUACGGGAGAAAGCAGGGGAUCACUUGUGACCUUGCGCUAAUAGAUGAGCCUAAGUCGGAUUAGCUAGUUGGUGGGGUAAAGGCCUACCAAGGCGACGAUCUGUAGCGGGUCUGAGAGGAUGAUCCGCCACACUGGGACUGAGACACGGCCCAGACUCCUGCGGGAGGCAGCAGUGGGAAUAUUGGACAAUGGGGGGAACCCUGAUCCAGCCAUGCCGCGUGUGUGAAGAAGGCCUUAUGGUUGUAAAGCACUUUAAGCGAGGAGGAGGCUCUUUUGGUUAAUACCCAAGAUGAGUGGACGUUACUCGCAGAAUAAGCACCGGCUAACUCUGUGCCAGCAGCCGCCGUAA